rnacentral:rRNA from 1 species
GUGGGGAAUUUUGGACAAUGGGCGCAAGCCUGAUCCAGCCAUGCCGCGUGCAGGAUGAAGGCCUUCGGGUUGUAAACUGCUUUUGUACGGAACGAAAAGACUCUGGUUAAUACCUGGGGUCCAUGACGGUACCGUAAGAAUAAGCACCGGCUAACUACGUGCCAGCAGCCGCGGUAAUACGUAGGGUGCGAGCGUUAAUCGGAAUUACUGGGCGUAAAGCGUGCGCAGGCGGUUAUGUAAGACAGAUGUGAAAUCCCCGGGCUCAACCUGGGAACUGCAUUUGUGACUGCAUAGCUAGAGUACGGCAGAGGGGGAUGGAAUUCCGCGUGUAGCAGUGAAAUGCGUAGAUAUGCGGAGGAACACCGAUGGCGAAGGCAAUCCCCUGGGCCUGUACUGACGCUCAUGCACGAAAGCGUGGGGAGCAAACAGGAUUAGAUACCCUGGUAGUCC